rnacentral:ncRNA from 1 species
CGAUACCACGCGGGAGAGACCCCCAUCAGCGGGGCGCCGACGGGGCAACACUCCCCAGUAACCUCUCAGGCACCAAGGACCGCGUGGAGGAG